GAUGAACGCUGGCGGUAUGCUUAACACAUGCAAGUCGAACGGUCUCUUCGGAGAUAGUGGCGGACGGGUGAGUAACGCGUGAGAAUCUAGCUCUAGGUCGGGGACAACCACUGGAAACGGUGGCUAAUACCGGAUGUGCCGGAAGGUAAAAGGCUUGCUGCCUAGAGAUGAGCUCGCGUCUGAUUAGCUAGUUGGUAGAGUAAGAGCCUACCAAGGCGACGAUCAGUAGCUGGUCUGAGAGGAUGAUCAGCCACACUGGGACUGAGACACGGCCCAGACUCCUACGGGAGGCAGCAGUGGGGAAUUUUCCGC
rnacentral:rRNA from 1 species